UACGUAGGGACCAAGCGUUGUCCGGAAUCAUUGGGCGUAAAGCGCGCGUAGGUGGCUUCGUAAGUCCGUUGUGAAAGUCAAAGGCUCAACCUUUGAAAGCCGAUGGAUACUGCGGAGCUAGAGUACGGAAGAGGCGAGUGGAAUUCCUGGUGUAGCGGUGGAAUGCGCAGAUAUCAGGAGGAACACCAAUAGCGAAGGCAGCUCGCUGGGACGUUACUGACACUGAGGCGCGAAAGCAUGGGUAGCAAACAGG
rnacentral:rRNA from 1 species